rnacentral:sRNA from 2 species
AUUGCAUAACGGCCUAGUCCCGAGAUUCGGGAGCGGAGGAACCAAUUUUUUGGGGUUAAUUCUGCAUUUGCAGGAAGGAUGAGAUCUUUCGCCAUCCUACCCGUCAGCUAACUUCGUCGGCUAAAGCGAAGGAGGUC